UCCAGGGUAGCCUAGUGGACAUGGCAUCUGCCCGGUAAGCGGAACACUGUGUGUUCGAUUCCCAUCCCUGGAC
rnacentral:tRNA from 1 species